UACGUAGGGUGCAAGCGUUAAUCGGAAUUACUGGGCGUAAAGCGUGCGCAGGCGGUUGUGCAAGACAGAUGUGAAAUCCCCGGGCUUAACCUGGGAAUUGCAUUUGUGACUGCACGGCUAGAGUGUGUCAGAGGGGGGUAGAAUUCCACGUGUAGCAGUGAAAUGCGUAGAUAUGUGGAGGAAUACCGAUGGCGAAGGCAGCCCCCUGGGAUAACACUGACGCUCAUGCACGAAAGCGUAGGGAGCAAACAGG
rnacentral:rRNA from 1 species